rnacentral:rRNA from 1 species
UGGGCCUUAAACGCCCAUUUACCCCGUUUUUUAAACUUAAGAAAGUGUAAACACCCUUCCGGGUUCACAACCCCGGGGAACCAGCUUUCUAACUCCGUGGAAAUAACCUGAGAACUUCUUGGAAAAAGGAAGAUGGAAAUUUAAUUAACUUUAAGGGGGUUAAAAAUCCCGUAGGAGAUUACCUAGGAAUUCCCGAAACCGAAAGCCGAUCUUUCUGGGAACAGAACUGGACCCUGAGAUCCGAAAGCUUGGGACCAAACAGGAUUAGAUACCCCUGGUAGUCCCACGCCCCUUCCGAUGAAUGUUAGUCUUGGAUGCUACCACUUCAGUGAUCAGCUAACGCAUUAAACAUUCCGCCUGGGGAGUACGGCCGCAAGGUUAAAACUCAAAGGAAUAGACGGGGACCCCACAAGUGUGGAGCAUGUGGUUUAAUUCGAAGAUACGCGAAGAACCUUACCUGGCCUUGACAUAUACCAGAAUCUGCCAGAGAUGGUGGAGUGCCUUCGGGAGCUGGUAUACAGGUGCUGCACGGCUGUCGUCAGCUCGUGUCGUGAGAUGUUGGGUUAAGUCCCGCAACGAGCGCAACCCUCGUGACUAGUUACUAACAGCAUAGGCUGAGGACUCUAGUCAGACUGCCUUCGUAAGGAGGAGGAAGGUGAGGACGACGUCAAGUCAUCAUGGCCCUUACGGCCAGGGCGACACACGUGCUACAAUGGGAAGGACAAAGAGAAGCAAAACUGUGAGGUGGAGCAAAUCUAUAAACCUUCUCUCAGUUCGGAUUGCAGUCUGCAACUCGACUGCAUGAAGCUGGAAUCACUAGUAAUCGUGAAUCAGCCAUGUCACGGUGAAUACGUUCCCGGGCCUUGUACUCACCGCCCGUCACACCAUGGGAGUUGAUUUCACCCGAAGCGGGGAUGCUAAAUAGGCUACCCGCCACGGUGGAAUUAGCGACUGGGGCUGAAGUCGUAACAAGGUAACCGUAGGAGAACCUGCGGCUG